rnacentral:misc_RNA from 1 species
AGCAGCCGCGGUAAUUCCAGCUCCAAUAGCGUAUAUUAAAGUUGUUGCAGUUAAAAGCUCGUAGUUGAAUUUCGAGACCGGUCUACUGGUCGUGCUUUUGUACGUACUGGUAUAAUCGGUUUCUCUCUUCUGACGAACUAUAAUGCCAUUAAUUUGGUGUUUUAGGGAAUCAGGACUGUUACUUUGAAAAAUUAGAGUGUUUAAAGCAGGCUCACGCUUGAAUACAUUAGCAUGGAAUAACGAAAUAGGACGUUUGAUUCUAUUUUGUUGGUUUCUAGGAUCGACGUAAUGAUUAAUAGGGAUAGUUGGGGGCAUUAGUAUUCAAUUGUCAGAGGUGAAAUUCUUGGAUUUAUUGAAGACUAACUACUGCGAAAGCAUUUUGCCAAGGAUGUUUUCAUUAAUCAAGAACGAAAGUUAGGGGAUCGAAGACGAUCAGAUACCGUCGUAGUCUUAACCAUAAACUAUGCCGACUAGGGAUCGGGAUGAUGUUAAAUUAAUGACUCAUUCGGCACCGUUACGG